rnacentral:lncRNA from 1 species
UCCUUGCUUGAAUCACCAAAACCAAGCUGUUUUCUUCCUUUCUCUCUUUUUCUUUCUUCUCCUCCUAGGGUUUAGAUGUGCUGGAAAUUAGGGUUAAAGGUUGUAAAUUUAGUGCUCAAGAAGUUUGGAGAAGAAAGGAAAAGAAAACAUGGAAAGGAAAGUGAAGAAAACUUGAUUUCAUGGUGGAUAAAGAGAAAAUGGCAUGGAAGCUUCAAGAAUGGCGUGGAGCAUGGAUGAAGAAGAAGAAAAAUCUGGUGGGGGAAAGGAUAAGGUUGGUCUUGGCCUAAAAACAUUAGAGUCAA